GGUCAAUAGCCUAACGGCUGAACCAGCAACUUGGAGGAAUGAAUAGCAAUAGCUAACUGCACUAAAAGUUUUAGUGUAAAAUCGACUCUGUUGAAUAAAAUUCUGGGUAGUAUUAUGAUAAUGACAUUAUCUAUUCAUAAGUCUUGACCAAAUUACGUGCCAGCAGUCGCGGUAAUACGUAGAAGACAAGUGUUAUUCAUCUUUAAUAGGUUUAAAGGGUACUUAGACGGUAAAUCAAGCCUCAAAAAGGGACUAAUUUUCUAGAGUUUUAUGUGAAAAAGUAUUAAAGUACUAAUGGUGUAGAGAUGAAAUUCUGUUAUACCUCGGAUGGCACAGGUUAAGGCGAAAGCAUCUUUUUAUGUAAAAACUGACGUUGAAGGACGAAGGCUUUGUGUCUCGAAUAGGAUUAGAUACCCUAAUAGUCUAAGCAGACAAUGAUGAAUGUCAUAGGUUAGAUGUAAUUUGACCUAUAAAUGAAAGUGUAAGCAUUCCACCUCAAGAGUAAUUUGGCAACAUUGGAACUGAAAUCAUUAGACCGUUUCUGAAACCAGUAGUGAAGUAUGUUGUUUAAUUUGAUAAUCCGCAAAAAACCUUACCACUUUAUAUAAUAUGAAUAGAUAUAUUUUAUCAUACAAGCGUUGCACGGCUGUCUUCAGUUAAUGUCGUGAGACUUUGGUUAGUUCCAUAAAAUUAACGUAAACCCUUACUUUAUUUUUAUAUAAAGUAGCUCACCGCUAUAUUGGAUGUGAUAAUAGGGAUCAAGACAAGUCAUCAUGACCUAAAUAUUGUGGGCUAUAGACGUGCCACAUAUGCCUUACAAAGAGAUGCUAAAUUGUGAAAUUGAGCUAAUCUCCUAAAAUUGGAUAUAA
rnacentral:rRNA from 1 species